CGUCAGGCUUCCAUGCCUCAACUGGCUUGUCAGGUUCUCAAGCCUCGGUUGGCUCAGCAGGCUCCCCAUGCCUCAGCCGGCCUUUUCAGGCUCCUAUGCCGGCAUUUUCAGGCUCCCAUGCCCGCCUUUUCAGUGUACAAAUUUUGGCAUAUCAGUGUGAACACUCUUUAAGUGUUUCUAGGAGAGGGUCGUGGCUUCGUGUCAAUAGUUCCGACAAAACACUUGCAAGAAAGAAUCUUACAGCCUUAGGUAGGGCUUUUUGCAGCAUUUCUUCAUCUCUGAUUAUGCGACGCACAAUGACCUCAGCACUUGUCCAAACCACAAAGUCACAGUAUUGGACAUUGCAUACAAACAUGUGAAGUUGAACUUGGUGGUAAUAUUCAUGAUUCUUUUUUAGGUGCAGUGAUUUGUCCAAGCAGAACUGUGUGUCAUCACUGCACCCUGUUAAGCCAUCACGGUAUUUGUAUGGGCACUUAACUUCAAGGGUUCCUCUCCCACAACAGGAACAGUUUACUAAUCCAUCUGGAGACGCCCUGAGAUGUGGUUGAUCGUUCCGCACGACAAGACCAGAGAGCUUCACACUGAAGUUGGCAUGGAUUUUGCUCAUUUCUUCCGUGUAGUACUUUCUGGCUGUAUCCUCCAUGUCUCUUCCCCAAACUACAGCUGGGACAUGAUGCAAUUCACUGGCAUUGUAAUGCAUUGUCUUUUUCACCAAGUUGAUUUUGUCUGUGUUUCUGCCUGCCGUGCACACACGAUGGAAGGCGGUGCUUGUUAUCAUUCCGAUUCGGUUGAUGUGCCAGGCCUGGCAUUUCGACUUCUCCUUGGAGGUGGUGAGAGGUCCCAUAGAUUGGCAUCAUACAGAGCUGUGAGUGGCUCUGGCAGGUCUUCUGUGUUGGUGUUUGACUCUCCUGAUGCAGUAUCUACAUCACUGUGGUCCUUCACCAUCCUGGCCAUGAAGCCUGCUACAUAUACAUAUUGCUAUGAGACAACUUCUUCACUGAACGUAGCUACUGCCAUCAACAUGUGCACAUCCACAUAUCGUGCCAGUAUUUGUACACAAAGGACGGGGUCUAUUGCGACCUGGAUUCCUCUACAAAGACCUACACUAUUCAACCUGUACAUCACCUCUACAAAAGAUCCAAAAGCUGUUGGGUAAUUCCACAAAAUGAGUCCCUUUUGGGUAGUGUAACUUCGUGGGAAAAAAUAGUUUUAUUUCACCUAACAUGACGAGCACAUGUUCAACUUAAUGAAAAAAACAUGAUGUUUUCCCAUCUCAAGAGGGAUAAUAAAAU